rfam:Schistosoma curassoni strain Dakar, Senegal genome assembly, scaffold: SCTD_scaffold0003721
AUUCAGCUGAAGGGUCACAAACAGGACGAAACGCGCGUCCUGGAU